rnacentral:lncRNA from 10 species
UGGAGACCAGACUGGCUGACAUGGUGAAACCCCAUCUCUACUAAGAAUACAAAAAAAGGCCGGACGCGGUGGCUCACGCCUGUAAUCCCAGCACUUUGGGAGGCCAAAGUGGGUGGAUCAUGAGGUCAGGAGAUCGAGACCAUCCAGGCUAACAUGGUAAAACCCCGUCUCUACCAAAAAUACAAAAAAUUAGCCAGGCGUGGUGGCGGACGCCUGUAGUCCCAGCUAUUCGGGAGGCUGAGGCAAGAGAAUUGCUUGAACCUGGGAGGUGGAGGUUGCAGUGAGCCGAGAUUGCACCACUGCACUCCAGCCUGGGCGACAAAGCGAGACUCCAUCUCAAAAAAAGAGAAACAUCUUUAGCAUUUUCUAAGGAUCCCUGGGGGAC